UACAGAGGUCUCAAGCGUUGUUCGGAUUCCUUGGGCGUAAAGGGUGCGUAGGCGGGUCUUUAAGUCAGGGGGGAAAUCCUGGAGCUCAACUCCAGAACUGCCUUUGAUACUGAGGAUCUUGAGUACGGGAGAGGUGAGUGGAACUGCGAGUGUAGAGGUGAAAUUCGUAGAUAUUCGCAAGAACACCAGUGGCGAAGGCGGCUCACUGGCCCGUAACUGACGCUGAGGCACGAAAGCGUGGGGAGCAAACAGG
rnacentral:rRNA from 1 species